UACGAAGGGGGGCUAGCGUUGUUCGGAUUUACUGGGCGUAAAGCGCACGUAGGCGGAUCUUUAAGUCAGAGGUGAAAUCCCAAGGCUCAACCUUGGAACUGCCUUUGAUACUGGGGAUCUCGAGUUCGGGAGAGGUGAGUGGAACUGCGAGUGUAGAGGUGAAAUUCGUAGAUAUUCGCAAGAACACCAGUGGCGAAGGCGGCUCACUGGCCCGAGUACUGACGCUGAGGUGCGAAAGCGUGGGGAGCAAACAGGG
rnacentral:rRNA from 1 species